CCUACGGGGGGCAGCAGUGGGGAAUAUUGGGCAAUGGAGGAAACUCUGACCCAGCAACGCCGCGUGAAUGAUGAAGGUCUUCGGAUUGUAAAGUUCUUUUCUACGGGAAGCAGAAAGUGACGGUACCUUAGGAAUAAGCCUCGGCUAACUACGUGCCUGCAGCCGCGGUAAUACGGAGGAGGCAAGCGUUAUCCGGAAGGACUGGGCGUAAAGGGUGCGUAGGUGGUUUGACAAGUUCGUCGCGUAACUCCGGGGCUCAACCUCGGCACUACUGCCAAAACUGUCGGACUUGAGUGGAGGAGAGGCAAAGGGAAUGCGUGGUGUAGCGGUGGAAUGCGUAGAUAUUAGGAGGAACACCAGUGGCGAAGGCGAUAUGCUGGACUGAAACUGACGCUGAGGCACGAAAGCGUGGGGAGCGAACAGGAUUAGAUACCCGAGUAGUC
rnacentral:rRNA from 1 species